UGUCUGUUGGAGGACGGAUUUAUAAAAGAGAAAUCAAUAACCACAAAUUAGCUUUGGUCCUUCAUCAUUCAUUUGCCCUACUGCAUUGGAGAGCCCUUCCUUAAACACUGCUGCCUGUUAGAGUAAGAAAACAUCAUAUAGCCAGAAAACAGAUGGAAGGCCAAGGCUCUGAGACCUAGCCCAAGAGGGUUCAGUGAGAAGAAUUUCAGAAUGUGGCCUAGAGACUGUUUUUGUGGAAUUUUGGUGAAGAAUGUGACUGCUUUUCCCCUUGUCUGAAGAGUCUGCCUGAGUCUAAGGCUCAAGAGAACUAUACCAAGGGAAAAUAUGAAGAAUUAUUUACCACUGUAGUCCCUGAGUUUUAACAUCAAGUCUAACUUACAGCAGAGCUCCCAGGGACUAAACCACCAACCAACCAA